AUAAAGGACACUUGGAAAUGUCGCCUUGCAGACAGGUAUCUUGUGAUGGGGAGUAGGAAAAAAGGCGCUCCUAGGCCUUCUCUUGACAUCAGCGGAGACUCGUUCCCUGCUGCAUUUGUGUAUUGUUGACGCAGAAGUAUCUUAUUCUGGUCCACUUUUGUGGCCUUUUUAUAAAUUUUUGUGAAGUUGAAGACUUCAUCUUCUAUCGCUAAAUCAAUGAGCAAACUCUGAGCACUUCACCGGCGAUGACCCUCUUCCCAGGGGAUGCUAAGCUCGCGCCGCAUCCUGAACGUUCUCUAACUGUUAUAUCGCACUUUGUAAAGUAACUGGUCUGACGGAAAUUGUGUUUUGUGAAAAAAAAAUACGUUUUGUACUUGGCCUAAAAUGUGCAUUCUUAAAUGUUAUUAAUGGCAGCAAUUCACACAUAGAUUAAGGUACAUCUGAACAGUGAUUUCCAAUAAUAAAAUCCAAAUGUCAAAAAAUGCCGUUUAUCGCAUUUUGCAACCUAACUCUUCAUAUGUAUGUGAGUUAUGACUGUAUGACUGCAGAAGAGAACUGCUCUGUUCCCACAACUCAGUUUUUCUGGUAUUUGAAAACAGACGCUCAGAAGAUUUUAAAGGGUGGAAUCUUGAUCAAAUCAGAAAGUUACAGUGGAUCGUGAUUUUGGAGGAGGUGAAGUCCAAUCUAAAAGAGUCCCCUCAAGUAUCAUCACCAUGGUACAGUGUCUGUGAAGAUAGUGAUGCAGACCCAGCAUUCACAAAAAAAGAGAGGUCCCAUAAAGAGAAGAUCCUGGAGCAAACAGGAAGUACAUGCUGUGGUGAAAGCUGAACCAUUGGCUCUAAAAACCAGAGAUUGACUCAAAGGAAGAUAACUUAGAUGAAGUGCAAGAACUCCUCAUCCUCCAUAGACAGCAAGGGAUUGAAAAAAUAUGAAGGAGAGGAAUUAAUAACAGAAUCUUCAUUUUGGGGUGAACUAACCAUUUAAUAUUGUUUGCUAUUGCACUUAACUAAAUGUGUACGCAGACAUGGAAGAGUUAUGUGGAAGCUUGUUAUACCCAAUGAGAACUGCUUUUAGACAAGCAAGAGAGUUUCAUGGAUUUUGUGUUUACUGUUUUUUUUUUGUGUUUAAAGGUUUUGUGGAAAUUCUUUAUAAUAAAUAUAACAUUUAUUAAAUUUAUUCUGGACCAUUUCCUGUUUGGAUCUUGAGGUUCCUUCUGUAUUCAAAUUACAUUUUUUAUAAACUGACCUGCUCUUCAAAUGAAAAUUCUAAAGCAGUUUACUGUCAAAUUACUUGAUUGAGGUUUAAAAUUUAAUAUUAGUAAGGGUGCUGAUCUGAUCCCCACGUUGCCUAAAAACCGGUAAUGUGUGUGUAGAACUGGUCCUUACUUUGACUAAAAAACGGUAAUGUGUGUGUAGAUCUGGUCC